UAAGGAAUAUUGCUCAAUGGGAGAAAUCCUGAAGCAGCAACGCCGCGUGGAGGAUGAAGGGUCUAUGACUUGUAAACUCCUGUAAAGAAGGAAAAAAUUCCCAUUAGAUGGGAGAUGAUGGUACUUCUGGAGUAAGCCCCGGCUAACUCCGUGCCAGCAGCCGCGGUAAUACGUAGGGGGCAAGCGUUGUCCGGAUUUACUGGGUGUAAAGGGUGCUCAGGCGGAUUUGUAAGUCAGAGGUGAAAUCUUACAGCUUAACUGUGAAACUGCCUUUGAUACUGCAGGCCUAGAGUAUGGAAGAGAGUGAUGGAAUAUCUCGUGGAGCAGUGAAAUGCGUAGAUAUCAGAUAGAACACCAAUGGCGAAGGCAGUCACUUGAUCCAUUACUGACGCUCAAGCACGAAAGCGUGGGUAGCAAACA
rnacentral:rRNA from 1 species